rnacentral:rRNA from 1 species
UCGAGAAUCUUUCGCAAUGGGGGAAACCCUGACGGAGCGACGCCGCGUGGAGGAUGAAGGCCCUCGGGUUGUAAACUCCUGUCACCGUAGAAAAAGGCGGUACGGUUAAUACCCGUUGCCGUUGAUGGUAUACGGAGAGGAAGGGACGGCUAAAUCUGUGCCAGCAGCCGCGGUAAUACAGAUGUCCCGAGCGUUGUUCGGAUUCACUGGGCGUAAAGGGUGUGUAGGAGGCAUGGUAAGUCAGCUGUGAAAUCUCCGGGCUCAACCCGGAAAUGGCAGCCGAUACUGCCUUGCUAGAGGAUCGGAAGGGCAAGCGGAAUUCUCGGUGUAGCAGUGAAAUGCGUAGAUAUCGAGAGGAACACCGGUGGCGAAGGCGGCUUGCUGGACGAUUCCUGACUCUGAAACACGAAAGCUAGGGGAGCGAACGGGAUUAGAUACCCCCGUAGUCC